rnacentral:rRNA from 1 species
AUUGAACGCUGGCGGCAUGCCUAACACAUGCAAGUCGAACGGCAGCACAGCAGUAGCAAUACUGUGGGUGGCGAGUGGCGGACGGGUGAGGAAUACGUCGGAAUCUGCCCAGUCGUGGGGGAUAACUAGCCGAAAGGUUAGCUAAUACCGCAUACGACCGAGAGGUGAAAGCGGGGGACCGCAAGGCCUCGCGCGAUUGGAUGAGCCGACGUCGGAUUAGCUAGUUGGCGGGGUAAAGGCCCACCAAGGCGACGAUCCGUAGCUGGUCUGAGAGGAUGAUCAGCCACACUGGAACUGAGACACGGUCCAGACUCCUACGGGAGGCAGCAGUGGGGAAUAUUGGACAAUGGGCGCAAGCCUGAUCCAGCCACGCCGCGUGAGUGAUGAAGGCCUUCGGGUCGUAAAGCUCUGUGGGGAGGGACGAACGGCGCCGAUGAAGAGUGGCGAUUGACGGUACUCCUUAGCAAGCACCGGCUAACUACGUGCCAGCA